rnacentral:rRNA from 1 species
GUGCCAGCAUCUGCGGUAAUUCCAGCUCCAAUAGCGUAUAUGUAAAUUGUUGCGGUUGAAAAGCUCGUAGUUGGACUUCUGGCGACUGAGUUCGGUCCGCCUAGAGCGAGUACUGAAUUCGGUCGUCGUUUUUGUCGAUGUGGUUCGUCGGACUUCACUGGCUGGCGUUCUCCAAUCGACAGGGUUACUUUGAGGAAAUCAGAGUGCUCAARGCAAGCGCACGCUCGUGACUUCACUAGCAUGGAAUAACACAGAUGGGCUCUUUUUCGCAACGUUGGUCUGCGUCAAUUGAGCAACGAUCGAUAGAGACGGUCGGGGGCAUUCGUAUUGCGCAGUUAGAGGUGAAAUUCUCCGAUCUGCGCAAGACGCACUAGUGCGAAAGCAGUUGCCAAGGACGUCCUCUUAUGAUCAAGAGCGAAAGUCGGGGGAUCAAAGAUGAUUAGAUACCGUCGUAGUCCCGACCAUAAAUGAUGCCGACUGAGCGUCGGCGACUCGGCCAUUGGCUGUACGUCGGCGCUCUUGAGAGAAAUUAAAGUCUUUGGGCUCCGGGGGUAGUAUGGUCGCAAGGCUGAA